AAUCCCCUGCAGUGCUCGUGAGGCGUAGCAUUCUCCUGAGCCGAUACUCAUGAACCUUGGAAGCUUGCUCUGAUUGUGGAGUGUAUGCUCUCUCUUUGGGGAGAGACCCACAGAAGCGAUUAUCAGGCCUCCGCCCUUUAUACAAGGGUUCAGAGGACGCACUCCCACGGUACAGGUGGGGGAUUU
rnacentral:other from 1 species